rnacentral:rRNA from 1 species
AUUGAACGCUGGCGGCAUGCCUUACACAUGCAAGUCGAACGGCAGCGGACCUUCGGGUGCCGGCGAGUGGCGAACAGGUGAGUAAUAUAUCGGAACGUACCUUUCAGUGGGGGAUAACGUAGCGAAAGUUACGCUAAUACCGCAUAUUCUGUGAGCAGGAAAGCAGGGGAUCGCAAGACCUUGCGCUGAUUGAGCGGCCGAUAUCAGAUUAGCUAGUUGGUGAGGUAAAGGCUCACCAAGGCGACGAUCUGUAGCGGGUCUGAGAGGAUGAUCCGCCACACUGGAACUGAGACACGGUCCAGACUCCUACGGGAGGCAGCAGUGGGGAAUUUUGGACAAUGGGCGCAAGCCUGAUCCAGCCAUGCCGCGUGAGUGAAGAAGGCCUUCGGGUUGUAAAGCUCUUUCGGCCGGGAAGAAAUCGCACAGGUUAAUACCCUGUGUGGAUGACGGUACCGGAAUAAGAAGCACCGGCUAACUACGUG